rnacentral:rRNA from 1 species
UACGGGGGGGGCAAGCGUUGUUCGGAAUUACUGGGCGUAAAGGGCGCGUAGGCGGUCGGAUAAGUCAGCUGUGAAAACCACGGGCUUAACUCGUGGCCUGCAGUUGAGACUGUCUGGCUUGAGUGUGGGAGAGGAGAGUGGAAUUCCUGGUGUAGCGGUGAAAUGCGCAGAUAUCAGGAGGAACACCGGUGGCGAAGGCGGGUCUCUGGGCCGUAACUGACGCUGAGGAGCGAAAGCGUGGGGAGCGAACAGG